rnacentral:rRNA from 1 species
AGCGAACGCUGGCGGUAGGCCUAACACAUGCAAGUCGAACGGCAGCACAGUAAGAGCUUGCUCUUACGGGUGGCGAGUGGCGGACGGGUGAGGAAUACAUCGGAAUCUACUUUUUCGUGGGGGAUAACGUAGGGAAACUUACGCUAAUACCGCAUCCGACCUACGGGUGAAAGCAGGGGAUCUUCGGACCUUGCGCGAUUGAACGAGCCGAUGUGGGAUUAGCUAGUUGGCGGGGUAAAGGCCCACCAAGGCGCCGAUCCGUAGCUGGUCUGAGAGGAUGGUCGGCCACACGGGAGCGGGACCAGGGACCAGACUCCUGCGGGAGGCAGCAGUGGGGAAUAUUGGACAAUGGGCGCAAGCCUGAUCCAGCCAUCCCGCGUGGGUGAAGAAGGCGUUCGGUUUGUAAAGCCCUUUUGUUGGGAAAGAAAAGCAGCAGGUUAAUACCCCGCUGUUCUGACGGUACCCAAAGAAUAAGCACCGGCUAACUUCGUG